CAGUAGCCGCGGUAAUACGUAGGCGGCAAGCGUUGUCCGGAAUUAUUGGGCGUAAAGCGUGCGCAGGCGGUUGUGUAAGACAGGAGUGAAAUCCCCGGGCUUAACCUGGGAACUGCGCUUGUGACUGCACAGCUAGAGUAUGGCAGAGGGGGGUGGAAUUCCACGUGUAGCAGUGAAAUGCGUAGAGAUGUGGAGGAACACCGAUGGCGAAGGCAGCCCCCUGGGCCAACACUGACGCUCAUGCACGAAAGCGUGGGGAGCAAACAGGAUUAGAUACCCCCGUAGUCCCUGUCUCUUAUAC
rnacentral:rRNA from 1 species